CCACUUGAAGAUGAGGAGAUUAUUACUUAUCUCCUUGCAGGUCUGGACAGCGACUACGACCCCCUGGUCGAGGUGGUGACGGCGCGUACGACGCCGAUGCCGCUGCGGGAUCUCUACUCCCAGCUUCUUAGCACCGAGU